rnacentral:rRNA from 1 species
AGACAGGUGCUGCAUGGCUGUCGUCAGCUCGUGUUGUGAAAUGUUGGGUUAAGUCCCGCAACGAGCGCAACCCUUAUCCUUUGUUGCCAGCGAUUCGGUCGGGAACUCAAAGGAGACUGCCGGUGAUAAACCGGAGGAAGGUGGGGAUGACGUCAAGUCAUCAUGGCCCUUACGAGUAGGGCUACACACGUGCUACAAUGGCGCAUACAAAGAGAAGCGACCUCGCGAGAGCAAGCGGACCUCACAAAGUGCGUCGUAGUCCGGAUCGGAGUCUGCAACUCGACUCCGUGAAGUCGGAAUCGCUAGUAAUCGUGGAUCAAAAUGCCACGGUGAAUACGUUCCCGGGUCUG